CUGAGCAACAACACCUAUCAAGGAAAACUUGUCGAGCGUACACACGAGAAAGUAAAUUUUUGUCAACAAAACAUGCCAAGGAAAACUUGUUGACUGUACACACGAGAAGGUAAAUUUGUCAAGCAGUCAAGAAAACUUGUCAAGGGAAACUUGCUCGUCGUCUGUACGUGACUUCAUACACGAAUGUUUGGCAUAAUGAAACAAUCAUCCAUUCACCAUUGUCAUAAUUUCAGUCGUCAAAUUGUGCAACUAUGUCGUUAAAACACUAUAAUGUUUGUGCAUGAUGAAUUCUUUUCAAUUAACAUGGAAUCGUAGUUCAUUACACACGCUUUGAAGUUCACCGAGAUUUCAGAACUUUAAGUCAAUUGACUAUGACCUUUACUAUUAGUAUUGCUGUGUCUACGAGUUAUAUAUAGUCCGUUUCCUUAGGGACAGUUGUGUAGGACCGGAAAAUUCGCAUAUUUUGCGUCUGAG